AGCGAACGCUGGCGGCAGGCUUAACACAUGCAAGUCGAACGGGCACUUCGGUGUCAGUGGCAGACGGGUGAGUAACACGUGGGAACGUACCUUUUGGUUCGGAACAACUGAGGGAAACUUCAGCUAAUACCGGAUAAGCCCUAACGGGGAAAGAUUUAUCGCCGAAAGAUCGGCCCGCGUCUGAUUAGCUAGUUGGUGAGGUAAUGGCUCACCAAGGCGACGAUCAGUAGCUGGUCUGAGAGGAUGAUCAGCCACAUUGGGACUGAGACACGGCCCAAACUCCUACGGGAGGCAGCAGUGGGGAAUAUUGGACAAUGGGCGCAAGCCUGAUCCAGCCAUGCCGCGUGAGUGAUGAAGGCCCUAGGGUUGUAAAGCUCUUUUGUGCGGGAAGAUAAUGACGGUACCGCAAGAAUAAGCCCCGGCUAACUUCGUGCCAGCCGCCGCCGUAA
rnacentral:rRNA from 1 species